GCCCUUGUACAGCAAUGUUUAGCUCGUUGGAUUUCUAAUCCAAAGGCCGUGGGUUCGAAUCCUACCCAGGAUG